rnacentral:rRNA from 1 species
UACGGAGGGUGCAAGCGUUGUCCGGAAUCACUGGGCGUAAAGGGCGCGUAGGCGGCGUGGUAAGUCACUUGUGAAAUCUCUGAGCUUAACUCAGAACGGUCAAGUGAUACUGCUGUGCUAGAGUGCGGAAGGGGCAAUCGGAAUUCUUGGUGUAGCGGUGAAAUGCGCAGAUAUCAGGAAGAACACCCGUGGCUAAGGCGGCUCUCUAGUACGGUACUGACGCUGAGACGCGAAAGCGUGGGGAGCGAACAGG